GAGCGGGCCGGGCCGGGAUCGUCACUUCGGUCAAACGUGUCGGGUUGGUGCUGCGUGUUGUAUCUACUUAUUCGUGUACACAGUUUGCAACCGGACCAAAUCUAAUUAUCAGCAAUCUACUGAGUUAGAGCAAACACUUUGGCAGAGCUAAUGCACCAAAGAAGCAGAGAUUCAUAUUUUCUGAGACACAAGAGACUAGAUACUGGAAUCUGGAGCAACGCAGAAUCCGCUGAUGGAACACAGUGGAUGGAGGCAGCAUUCUGUGGGGGCCAGGUUUUUCGUGGUCUUUCGUCCGGGAGUGAUGGAGAGAGAGGACCCAAAUGGAGAGUCGGAAGACCACCGGACGGAGUGGACUGAGGGGCAAGGGUCCAAGGACCGGCUAUGCUUGCAGGUUGAUGGGAACAAAUGAAUGAACAGUGAGCUCCAACGAUGUGCAAUAGACUUUUUCCUUAAAAUGGGCCCUCUCACUUUUUAUUUUCUUUACUAACCCUCUACCCAGAUUUAGAUUUAUAAAGUUCAAUCAUUUAAUUGCGUAUGAUGUACCGUCUGAAAUUUUGCGGUACGGAUUUGUAACCGGGCAACACAACACACAGCAAGCAUCCAUA